GCCAUCUUUUUCUUGGGGUACACUGCUGUCCAAUGAGUGCCUAAGGAGGGCAGUACUGCUAAUGCCUACACAGCACGCCCACAUGUUCUAGAGCUCUGCUUUACCCUGGUGCAAUUUUGGGGGAG
rnacentral:ncRNA from 1 species